UCCCUUGUGUCUCAGCUGGUAAAGAAUCUUCCUGCAAUGUGGGAGACCUGGGUUCGAUCCCCAGUUUGGGAA
rnacentral:tRNA from 1 species